GACAGAAGGGGAGAGCUUUCGGGUGCUCAGCACCGCACCCCCUCGGGGCCUGGAAUGAUAACAUCAUUCUAAAAAGCAGAUACUGCUUUGCAGACAGACAGGGAGCCCAGAGAGGGGGAGAAGUUCCCCAGAAAUCACGGUCUCAAAUGAUUUAAGUUUAUGAAUCCACCUCCUGCUGAGAAGCCCUCAGGCAACCCUUACAUGACCCUAUGUGGCCAGGUUUAUUGUGCCCACUUGACAGAAGGGGAAACUGAUGAAGCUCUGUCACUUGCCCACAUCACACUCGGAGUGAGUGCUAGAGGCCGAGUCUGCCCCCCGCUGUGGGAUGGGAAGUUCACUCUCCUCUCACCACCUCCGUGAGGGGAGCCCUGGGUGGGGUGGGGGCGGGACCCUCCAGGUUCAGGAGAAGCUGCUGACCCGUGUGUGCUUGGGGCCAGAGAAACCAGCAGCCCUGACACAGCAAUAGCAGUAGCGAUAACAGCCCUCGUCGAUGGAGUGUUUGCAGGACUGUGAGCCAACGACUCUCCUACCCCAUCCAUGUCAGCCCACUGCCCGUGUUGCCUUGUCGUCUGUCACGCUGGUUCUGGUGUCUUCCUAUGGGACAUGGGACAUGAGGAGCUGGCACCUGAUGUCAUUUUUGUGGCCUGAUGAAUAAACUGACUCCCCAGCUGUA